AGCGAACGCUGGCGGCAGGCCUAACACAUGCAAGUCGAACGGAUACUUCGGGAUUAGUGGCGGAUGGGUGAGUAACACGUGGGAACGUGCCCUUUGGUUCGGCACAACUCAGGGAAACUUGAGCUAAUACCGGAUCUGACCUUCGGGGGAAAGAUUUAUCGCGAUUGGAGCGGCCCGAGUCUGAUUAGCUAGUUGGUGAGGUAACAGGCCAUCAAGGCGACAAUCAGCAGAUGGGCUGAGAGAAUGAUCAGCGACACUGGGACUGGGACACGGCCCAGACUCCUACGGGAUGGAGGAGUGGCUAAUCUUGCGCAAUGGGGUGAAUCCUGACGCAGCCAGGCUGGGUGAAUGAUGAAGGUCGUAGGAUAGUAAAAUUCUUUCAACUGGGACGAUAAUGACGGUACCCGCAGAAGAAGCCCCGGCUAACUUCGUG
rnacentral:rRNA from 1 species